GAUGAACGCUAGCGGCAGGCCUAACACAUGCAAGUCGAGGGGUAGAAUUAGCUUGCUAAUUUGAGGACCGGCGCACGGGUGCGUAACGCGUAUGCAAUCUACCUUGUACAGGGGGAUAGCCCAGAGAAAUUUGGAUUAAUACCCCAUGGUAUAAUUGAAUCGCAUGAUUUGAUUAUUAAAGUUCCAACGGUACAAGAUGAGCAUGCGUCCCAUUAGCUAGUUGGUGUGGUAACGGCAUACCAAGGCGACGAUGGGUAGGGGUCCUGAGAGGGAGAUCCCCCACACUGGUACUGAGACACGGACCAGACUCCUACGGGAGGCAGCAGUGAGGAAUAUUGGUCAAUGGUCGGAAGACUGAACCAGCCAUGCCGCGUGCAGGAAGACGGUCCUAUGGAUUGUAAACUGCUUUUGUACGGGAAGAAACACUCCUUCGUGAAGGAGCUUGACGGUACCGUAAGAAUAAGGAUCGGCUAACUCCGUG
rnacentral:rRNA from 1 species